rnacentral:rRNA from 1 species
GGGGAAUAUUGGGCAAUGGGCGAAAGCCUGACCCAGCAACGCCGCGUGAGGGAAGAAGGUCUUCGGAUUGUAAACCUCUGUCCUUGGGGAAGAAAAAAAUGACGGUACCCAGGGAGGAAGCCCCGGCUAACUACGUGCCAGCAGCCGCGGUAAUACGUAGGGGGCAAGCGUUGUCCGGAAUUACUGGGCGUAAAGGGUGCGUAGGCGGUUGUCUAAGUCAGAUGUGAAAUCCCCGGGCUUAACUCGGGUGGUGCAUUUGAAACUGGGUAACUAGAGUGCAGGAGAGGGAAGCGGAAUUCCUAGUGUAGCGGUGAAAUGCGUAGAUAUUAGGAGGAACACCAGUGGCGAAGGCGGCUUUCUGGACUGUAACUGACGCUGAGGCACGAAAGCGUGGGGAGCAAAC